CGAUUAAGGAGCUCUACAACGAGCAGGACGCCUGCUCUGGACUCUUACAGACUGCUGCAUCGUCUCUGGCAGUUGUUGGACAGAUGUGGACUUUCUGGCCAGCGUUUGGAUCUCCUGUGGACUCACUGCGUUGCACUUUAAUGAAAUGGGAUUGUUCUUUAGCUGAGGAUGACUCCAAGUUUGAUGUCCUGAAAGUGGGACGAAGACGCUCCCACUUCAGAGGACGGACGAGGAGAGGAACCACGUCUGGUUGGAGAGCUGGAGAUGACUGGUCAUGGUUGGAGGACUUGAUCUGAGGCCUUCUGAUGGAUGAAGAUGGAAGAUGCUGAGGAGGAAGAGGAAGGCCUGAUGAAGACGCCUCUGUGACCCACUGAUGUCUACAGAAGACCUCCCUGAUGUCACAGUGCUUCCCCUUGGUGGACUCCUGCAGCUCCUUCCUCCCUCCCUGAUGCACGGUCAAACCUCUGCAGAUGAUCCAGAAUGCAGCAGCAGCUCGUCCUUCUGGAUCAAAGCUCAAUGAAAAUGCUUUCUGUCUUGGUGCUGGAGUUUUCUGAGUCCUGUCAGCAGAGCACUGAUGCAUUCUGACUCUGACCAAAGUGUGACGUUCCUACUCAUCAGGAAGCCACAUCACCUGUAGAAUGAUGAUGUCACAGAAUUACAGGUGAUUUUAUGCACAUUUUAAACCAAACCCUCAAGGUGUUAAAGUACGUGUUUGGGUGAACAUCUUGUGUGAAUUGGCUUCAGAAACUUGUGAACUGAUGUUUCAAAGUUUCCUUGGAAACCAGAAAGUGAUGGUUGGCGUCAGAGCGCCCUCUGUUGGUGAAUGAGUGAAAGCAAACAUUUUCCAGAGGCUGCAUGCGGUCCCAUCAUGAACAGAUUAGAUCUAACAGUGACCAUCAUCCUGCUUCUGCUUCCUCAUCACGUCUUUAAUCAUCUCAUAUC